GUAGUAUGCAUUUCAGCGAAUGCUGCCUCUAAACUACCCGUCAGGAAAAAUAAAAUCUAUAAGGUAAUCGUAGUCUAGGAGCCAUCAAUCCCCAAAUGCUUCUCUUAGAAAACGAAUGCCAACAAUUUAGCUAAACAUCUUCCUUGGAAGUGAGCCAUUUCCCAUGUCUCUCUGUUCUCCAAACCGCGAUGAAAUUUCAACCUGCCCAACACGAUUACUGGUCCACCUAGAAAUGCCGUGGAGCGAUUUAAGAGCCUCGGAAAUUUCCUUUAAGGUCAGGAGAGAAGCUGGUAACAGAUGGGGCGAAGGAGGAAAAGUUCUUUUUGCGGCACCCUCACGCCUUCCCAGCCCUUUCGCGGUUUACUCGCUCCCCGGAAAGCAGGGCAUUCAAGCAGCCCUGAGGAGAGGUCCACAUGGUGAGCCACUGAGGGCCUUGCCAAGAGCCAGCACCAACGGUCCAGGUUUGGAGUGUACCACCUUGGAAGUGAAUCUUCCAGUCCAGUCAAGCCUUCAGAUGACUUCAGAACCGUCCAUGUAAGCCACUCUUGGAUUCCUGACCCACAGAAACUGUUGGAGCUGCCAAUUUGCAGGAAAUAGAGGAGAGAAGCAUCUGUUGAACUGCACCAUGAGUAUACACUCAGCAAAGGCCAAACUGUGGAAAAUGAUACAGGUCAAACAGCCUGGAUUCUUUAACAGUGAUGUUUCUGAAGCACCAAUGAAAAUGAAGUCCUGAAGUCCUGUGCUCAAUAUGAAAUGUUGGAAGUUAGAAGAAAAAAACAAAACUUGGAUCCAAUCUCAAGGCACUUUUUGUUUAAUGGGAAGAAGUGGAUUAUUUUAAAAGCUACAAAUAAAGUUACAUAAAAGUAGCAAA
rnacentral:lncRNA from 1 species